AGAGUUUGAUCCUGGCUCAGGACGAACGCUGGCGGUGUGCUUAACACAUGCAAGUCGAACGGUAAGGCCCUUUCGGGGGUACACGAGUGGCGAACGGGUGAGUAACACGUGAGUAACCUGCCCUCAUCUCUGGGAUAACAGUCGGAAACGGUUGCUAAUACUGGAUAUGAGCUUGCAAGGCAUCUUGUGGGUUGGAAAGAUAUUUUUUGGUUGGGGAUGGACUCGCGGCCUAUCAGCUUGUUGGUGAGGUAGUGGCUCACCAAGGCUUCGACGGGUAGCCGGCCUGAGAGGGCGACCGGCCACAUUGGGACUGAGAUACGGCCCAAACUCCUACGGGAGGCAGCAGUGGGGAAUAUUGCACAAUGGACGGAAGUCUGAUGCAGCAACGCCGCGUGCGGGAUGACGGCCUUCGGGUUGUAAACCGCUUUCAAUUGUGACGAAGCUUUUUGUGACGGUAGCAGUAGAAGAAGCACCGGCUAACUACGUGCCAGCAGCCGCGGUGAUACGUAGGGUGCGAGCGUUGUCCGGAUUUAUUGGGCGUAAAGAGCUUGUAGGCGGUUUGUCGCGUCGGGAGUGAAAACUUGGGGCUUAACUCCGAGCUUGCUUUCGAUACGGGCUGACUUGAGGGAGGUAGGGGAGAAUGGAAUUCCUGGUGGAGCGGUGGAAUGCGCAGAUAUCAGGAGGAACACCGGUGGCGAAGGCGGUUCUCUGGACCUUUCCUGACGCUGAGAAGCGAAAGCGUGGGGAGCGAACAGGCUUAGAUACCCUGGUAGUCCACGCCGUAAACGGUGGGUACUAGGUGUGGGGGACAUUCCACGUUCUCCGUGCCGUAGCUAACGCAUUAAGUACCCCGCCUGGGGAGUACGGCCGCAAGGCUAAAACUCAAAGGAAUUGACGGGGGCC
rnacentral:rRNA from 1 species